GGGGACGAUCGGUUUCGACGUGGAUUACGACGCCUUCAGGGCAUGCCGAGGUGCAGGGUUCCUCGUAAAUCCAACUGCAAAAACCAUAGUUGCCAACGACGACAACUACGCCUUAGCGGCUUAAUCCCCGCUAACCGUUUCCCCGGUUCUUUCUGCGGGCUGGGAUGAAACGGUCAUAUACGCAGGAUCGUGUCGCGGUGCGCCUGUUACCGCGCCAUUAAAUCCAAGCAGGCUCAACCCGUAGCCGUCCUGUCUGUCGGAGGGCGACGGGCGAAACCGUAGACAGACUACGCAUGUAGAACUGACUGGCUGAGGAUUUGCGGACGCGGGUUCGAUUCCCGCCGUCUCCACCA
rfam:Acidiferrobacter thiooxydans strain ZJ Contig_85, whole genome shotgun sequence.